CCUACGGGAGGCAGCAGUGGGGAAUUUUCCGCAAUGGGCGAAAGCCUGACGGAGCAACGCCGCGUGAGGGAUGAAGGCCUCUGGGCUGUAAACCUCUUUUAUCAAGGAAGAAGAUCUGACGGUACUUGAUGAAUAAGCCACGGCUAAUUCCGUGCCAGCAGCCGCGGUAAUACGGGAGUGGCAAGCGUUAUCCGGAAUUAUUGGGCGUAAAGCGUCCGCAGGCGGUCUUGUAAGUCUGUCGUUAAAGCGUGGAGCUCAACUCCAUUUCGGCGGUGGAAACUACAAGACUAGAGUGUGGUAGGGGCAGAGGGAAUUCCCGGUGUAGCGGUGAAAUGCGUAGAUAUCGGGAAGAACACCAGUGGCGAAGGCGCUCUGCUGGGCCAUAACUGACGCUCGUGGACGAAAGCUAGGGGAGCGAAAGGGAUUAGAUACCCCUGUAGUCCUAGCCGUAAACGAUGAAUACUAGGUGUCGGGGGAAUCGACCCCCUCGGUGUCGUAGCUAACGCGUUAAGUGUUCCGCCUGGGGAGGUACGCGACGCAGUGUGAACUACAAUAGAAUUAGUACGGCGUGAGACGUGCCGACGGACGACCGACGACGGGAGGUAGG
rnacentral:rRNA from 1 species